CAUUAAACCUAAUACCCACACAUUUCAAUUUCUCAUUGACAUACACAUCUCAUUGACAUACACAUCGCCGCUGCUGUGAAGAACAUUGCAUCGAUUCACACACACAUACACAUCGCCAUUGUUGUGCUGCCGAUCGGCUCACCGCUGGUCGCCUAUCCUCACCGCCGCCGCUGAUUUCUCCUUCCCUUGCCGAUCGGCUCACGGCUGUUAGCCUCUUCUCGUCGUCGUCGACUCGUCGAUUGUCUCCCCUCCUGCUCGGCCGCUAGUCUUGCCGGUCGCCACCUAUAGCCUUGCCGGUCUUCUCCGCUCGCCUUUGCUCGCUGCUUAGGUAUGGCACAAUCUUCUGGGUGGGCUGGUUUGUUUGCUAGUGGCCCAUCACCUAUGCCUACUCUGCAUCCACGGCCUAAGGAAGAAUUUCCACACGCACUUAAUGAAGAAGCUACAAUUGUAUAGGAAUUGCAAGAUCGUUAGGCUGAAAUUCACGCCUUCCAUAUCUCAUUCUGAAAUACUCCAAGACUGAAGAACUUUGAAGGUGCUAGGGUUCCAUGUCUAUUCGAUCAUCUCCUUCCAGAAAUACUCCCAAGAGAGUCUGAAGAACACUUUGAAGGUGCGAUUGAAAGGUUUAAUCGAAGGUGCUGCUAAUUGAUUCUCUCCUUCGAAGGUGCGAUGAAGGGCUAGCAUGGUUCCUGAGAUCAAGACGGGUCGGCGUAAGAGAGCAUCAAGUGGCAACGUAGUAUCAGCCUCAGAAGCAUGUCCACAUGAGAUUGGCACCCCGCUGACUUUCUCUGAUGGGGCGCAACUGCCGGAUGAUACACAGACAGUUGGUGUGGGGCGAACAAGGUCAACUCGUGUAUGAGGACCUACAUUAGGCAAAGGAGUGCAGAAAGAAAUAGCUAGGAAAAAAGGAGAGAAAUUGCAUGUUUGUGUCAACCGAGUGUUCAAUGCAAUCACUGGAGGGAAUGCCACCCCAACAACGAAGGAGUUGGGACUGCAGAUUAGGCGGUUGUGCCCUCUUCAGAGCGUGAAGUUGUAGAAAAAAAUCGAUCAAAGUACCAAAGAUGUUGUCCAAGCUGUGCUAGACAAGUUUGUUAUUGGUGAGGAUUUUCAUAAUGAUGAACAAGCCCAACGGAUCAUUGAUAGAAAGGCAUAUUUGUUGUACAAGGAUUGGAGAUAUAACCUAAAGCAAGAGUUCCUCGAACUUGAGGAAUAGGGUGUUGAUGACCCCUAUAGUCAUCCGCCUACUGGAGUGAGCUUGGAGGAUUGGGAAAAAUGAAUCUCACUUGAAAUGCUCAAAAGUUGGUAAAGCAAAUAGGCAUAUGCUACCAUACAAUCAUACAAGUGGAUCUCGAUCAUUUUCAAUAGCAAUGUUGCUAAUGAUGAGAUGCUGAAUCUACAAGUGGUAGCCAUUGAUGCGAGGACGCCAUUGACCCAAGAAGAACUAUCAAGGCAAGUGCUUGGGCAAAAAAAAAAAUUACUUGCGUGGAUUUGGGAUAGGCCCACAACCCUCUUCGACACCUGAUAGUGCGACACAAUCUCGUGAUAAACAUAUGGAGUCAAUGAGGGCUGAACUGAGAAGCAUCAAAGAGAUCACGAGGAGCUGCUGAGGGAGAAAAAGGUGCGCCAAAGAGAUCACGAAGAGCUACUGAGGGAGAAAGAGGAGCGCCAAAGAGAUCGCGAAGAACUUAUGAGGGAAAGAAAGGAGAUGAUGAAACAAGUCGAAGAAGAAAAAAAGCACGGGAGGCACAACAAGUACAACUCAAUCAUCUGAACGACGUGGUGUCACGACUCACAACCCUCUUGCAGGGUUUAGAUGGUCAUCCUACUAUUCGAUGGCUUUUGGCAUCGACAUGUGGAUCUGCCAUUUUUGUGUACGGAGGAUAAACACUUCUGAAAAGUUCCACUUUUUUGUCGUCCUCUGCUUUUUGUAUGGAAUUUGGAUGAAUCGCACAUAUAACUUUUGGCAGGGUACAUAAUACUUUUGACAUGGAACUUGUAUUUGUUAUCGUGGUAUAUAGAUUACCUUUUGUUGUGGUACAGAUUACCAUGGUAAUUUAUACCAUGCCAAAUGGUCAUUUCGCAUAGUAGUGAAUAUAUUUUUGUGGACGGAGGACAUUGUUUUGGUAUGCUUAUUUGUUUUGUAUGAAAUUAUUUCCAAUUGGAAUGUAUACUUAGUUUGUAUAGAAGUUGACAUUCUAAGUUAUUCUUAUUUGUUUAA